rnacentral:rRNA from 1 species
AUUGAACGCUGGCGGAAUGCUUUACACAUGCAAGUCGAACGGCAGCACGGGUGCUUGCACCUGGUGGCGAGUGGCGAACGGGUGAGUAAUACAUCGGAACGUACCCAGUUGUGGGGGAUAACGAGUCGAAAGAUUCGCUAAUACCGCAUACGACCUGAGGGUGAAAGCGGGGGACCGUAAGGCCUCGCGCAAUUGGAGCGGCGGAGGGCUGAUUAGCUAGUUGGUGAGGUAAAGGCUCACCAAGGCGACGAUCAGUAGCUGGUCUGAGAGGAUGAUCAGCCACACUGGAACUGAGACACGGUCCAGACUCCUACGGGAGGCAGCAGUGGGGAAUUUUGGACAAUGGGGGAAACCCUGAUCCAGCCAUUCCGCGUGAGUGAAGAAGGCCUUCGGGUUGUAAAGCUCUUUCGGCAGGGAAGAAACGCUCUGGCUUAAUACGCCGGGGUAAUGACGGUACCUGAAGAAGAAGCACCGGCUAACUACGUGCCAGCCGCCGCCGUAA